UACAGAGGUCCCAAGCGUUGUUCGGAUUCACUGGGCGUAAAGGGUGCGUAGGUGGCCGGGUAAGUCUGGUGUGAAAUCUCCGAGCUCAACUCGGAAACUGCAUUGGAUACUAUCCGGCUAGAGGAUCGGAGGGGAGACUGGAAUACUUGGUGUAGCAGUGAAAUGCGUAGAUAUCAAGAGGAACACCUGCGGCGAAGGCGGGUUGCUGGGCCGACACUGACGCUGAGGCGCGAAAGCCAGGGGAGCGAACGGG
rnacentral:rRNA from 1 species